rnacentral:lncRNA from 1 species
CAUUCUUAACAUAUCAUCGAAAGGUCUGCUUACGGACGGGAUCAAAUGAUUGAAGUAAGUGGGCCUGUGGGCUUGUAUGAAAAGUUCGACCAUCUCUUUCUCAUCAAUCAGGGUAUGGAUUCAAGCAUUGCUCCCACCAUAUGAGCCCAAACUCUAUAAAGAUUUCCCCUGGCUUUUUUUCCAUUCCAGAUAAGGAGGAACGGUCCGCGAAUAGUUCUUUCAGCUUCUUGGAUUCCCUAUCUGUCCCUUCUCUUUCUGUGAACCUUUCAUUUUCAAUACGAGGCUUAUCUUGCGGCCAUUUUUUUGCAAGUUGGAAAUCUAAUGAGUAAACUUGGAGGUGUAACAUUGGGCAUCACGAGCUCUGGGUAUGUGUUCUUUGUCGAGAAUAGUGGAUGUGGCCGGAAGGAACCAUUGGAAAAAGAUAGUCGGAUAAUGAGUGAUGGAGUUACCAGAGUGGUUGGGAAAGUUGUUAUAAGCGGAUAGAGA